UACGGAGGAUCCGAGCGUUAUCCGGAUUUAUUGGGUUUAAAGGGUGCGUAGGCGGGAUAAUAAGUCAGUGGUGAAAGUUUGCAGCUUAACUGUAAAAUUGCCGUUGAAACUGUUAUUCUUGAGAGUAGAUAAGGUAGGCGGAAUGUGUUGUGUAGCGGUGAAAUGCAUAGAUAUAACACAGAACACCGAUUGCGAAGGCAGCUUACUAAUCCAUCAUUGACGCUGAGGCACGAAAGCGUGGGGAUCAAACAGGAUUAGAUACCCCU
rnacentral:rRNA from 1 species